rnacentral:rRNA from 1 species
GACGAACCGUGCGAACGUUAUUCGGAAUCACUGGGCUUAAAGGGCGCGUAGGCGGGCCAUCAAGUCAGGGGUGAAAGCCCCCAGCUCAACUGGGGAAGUGCCUUUGAUACUGGUGGUCUCGAGGGGGAUAGGGGCAUGCGGAACUUCCGGUGGAGCGGUGAAAUGCGUAGAUAUCGGAAGGAACACCGGUGGCGAAAGCGGCGUGCUGGAUCCCUUCUGACGCUGAGGCGCGAAAGCCAGGGGAGCGAACGGG